UCAGGCUUCAAAAUUAAAGGAUACAAGGGCAUAAGAGAGUUAAUGGAGAAUAAAUGGAUUAUUGUGGCUGUCCUGGUGAUGGCAAGCAUGAUGCUUGGAAUGGAGGCAACAAAUACAACUAACACUAGCAACAGCUCAAUACCUUCUAACAACAUGGCCAGAAACGUAACCCAGACAGUCCCUCUCAACAUGACCAACAACCUGACCCAGACAGGCCCUCUCAACAAGACCAACAACAUGUCACUAGAAACCAUCAGCAGAGAUAACUGCGGGAGAGAUAGGGCAUGUUUCUCCACUCCACAGACCUGUAAUCCAGCUGCUCAGGGUUCCUGUUUUUUUGUCUCCACGAGAGCAGUAUACAGAAAUGCAGACAACCUCACUUUCUCAUGACAACAGGGAGGGUGAUGGUGAUACUGUCUAUUCUUGUGCCAACAAAAAUGGUAUAGUGAAAUUUACCCGUGCAACACUGAACAACAGCAGACUGACUCAGGAUAAUGCAUUCAUUCCUAGAAGUUUCUGUGGAUCAGUGAACAGAAGUAAGAUUCAGUGCACUUGCAUAGCUCCAGGUCUCAGCAACAGCAGUGCCUGGGUGACAUACACAAGGGAUUUCCUCUUCUUUUUCACAGGCAACUUCACAAAUGGCUCUCUGCAGUCUCCAAUCACUUUACUGGUCACAUAUGGGUCAGUGGAUUUAAGCAACCCUAACAGCACAGACACCGCAGUAUUAACAUCCAAUACAAACACCGCUGCAGCAUCUAAUGCCACUGCAAGGUCAAACAGCACUGCUUCAUGGAAUAGAACUGCAGCGUCAAAUGCCACCACCAAUACCACAGAACGGUCACUCUACAACAGCACAACAAAUGAAACCAUCAGCAGGAAUAACUGCAGGAGAGAUAGGGCAUGUUUCUCCACUCCACGCACCUGUAAUCCAGCUGCUCAGGGUUCCUGUUUUUUUGUCUCCACGAGAGCAGUAUACGGAAAUGCAGACAAUUUCACUUUUGAGUUCAGCGGAGAGUCCAGUGGCUACAUCGCGGUUGGCCUCUCUCGUGACAACAGGGAGAUCAGAAGAAGAUUCAAUUCCCAUACGAGUCCACAUUAAAGAAAAAAGAAAAUAAUCAUGGUUUGGGGUUUUGUGAUCCUGUUAGGAUGCUUCUAAAUAUCUGGAACCUUUUCAGGAAACAGUGCCAUCAGUGUCUUUAAAAUGUUUCUCUUUAAAAUGUUUUAUCAUUAAAGCAUUUAUUUUAAAUGCCAGACUCUUUAUCCUUUACUCUAAUGCUAAAUAUGUGGUUCCGGAGUUUCAGUAUACCAAAAGGUAUUCAUAGUUCUAAACCAUAAGUGUGAAGCACUACUCUAUUUCAGCCCCAUCACAGUAAGCUAGGAAUGAAUUUACUUGUAAUUUGAAUAGAUAAUUGAGGCUAUUUUGGAUGCAUCACUCAAUUGCGGUUUGCCUUUUUUUAAAACAAGCACUCCUCCCAGUUAAAUUAAACAUAUUGGGUUAAACGUCAAACACUAAGCAGACUCUGGAUCUGUUAUUUCUCAUGAUAAAUAGUAGUUCAAAUGUUUCAGUUUACAAAAAUCUCAUCGGAGUUCAGAACAAAAUCCUUAAAGCACUUCAUUAUUUCAGCCCCAUCACAGCAUGUUGGGAAUGAAUUUACUUGUAAUUUGAAUAGAUAAUUGAGGCUAUGUUGGAUGCAUCACUCAAUUGCGGUUUGCCUUUUAUUGCAACAAACUUCCCACACUGUAAUUUUCGAAAUAUUCCAGGGUAGGAAGUCAGCCCAAAAUAGCUAAUAGUGGCCUUAACUAGCAAAUAUCAUAAAAGCACAGCACAUUAUUUUCAGUCAAUAUUUUUGUAUAUAGCGACAAGAAUGGGGUGGUACUACCUGUUUUUUUUUUAACAAUGGUAGACUGACUGGGGCUGAAGGGGCAGUAGGAGUGUUUGAGAAACCUAUUUGGAAACAAUGAUUAUAUACUGUAUGCCGUUCCUUUGUGUGCCGGUGGUGGUGCAGUUGAUCAAAAGAUUUGGAUUUUUGUUCUCAGACUACUUUACUUUAUCUUUUCAUAGGGUGAUGGUGAUACUGUCUAUUCUUGUGCCAACAACAAUAGUAUGGUGAAGUUUACCCGUGCAACACUGAACAACAGCAGACUGACUCAGGAUAAUGCAUUCAUUCCUAGAAGUUUCCGUGGAUCAGUGAACAGAAGUAAGAUUCAGUGCACUUUCAUAGCUCCAGGUCUCAGCAACAGCAAUGCCCGGGCGGCAUACACAAGGGCUUUCCUCUUCUUUUUCACAGGCAACUUCACAAAUGGCUCUCUGCAGUCUCCAAUCACUUUACUGGUCACAUAUGGGUCAGUGGAUUUAAGCAACCCUAACAGCACAGACACCGCAGUAUUAACAUCCAAUACAAACACCGCUGCAGCAUCUAAAGCCACUGCAAGGUCAAACAGCACUGCUUCAUGGAAUAGAACUGCAGCGUCAAAUGCCACCACCAAUACCACAGAAGGGUCACUCUACAACAGCACAACAAAUGAAACCAUCAGCAGGAAUAACUGCAGGAGAGAUAGGGCAUGUUUCUCCACUCCACGCACCUGUAAUCUAGCUGCUCAGGGUUCCUGUUUUUUUGUCUCCACGAGAGCAGUAUACGGAAAUGCAGACAACCUCACUUUUGAGCUCAGCGGACAGUCCAGUGGCUACAUCGCGGUUGGCCUCUCUCAUGACAACAGGGAGAUCAGAAGAAGAUUCAAUUCCCAUACGAGUCCACAUUAAAGAUAAAAGAAAAUAAUCAUGGUUUGGGGUUUUGUGAUCCUGUUAGGAUGCUUCUAAAUAUCUGGAACCUUUUCAGGAAACAGUGCCAUCAGUGUCUUUAAAAUGUUUCUCUUUAAAAUGUUUUAUCGUUAAAGCAUUUACUUUAAAUGCCAGACUCUUUAUCCUUUACUCUAAUGCUAAAUAUGUAGUUCCGUUGUUUCAGUAUACCAAAAGGUAUUCAUAGUUCUAAACCAUAAGUGUGAAUCACUACACUAUUUCAGCCCCAUCACAUUAAGCAAGAAAUUAAUUUACUUGUAAUUUGAAUAGAUAAUUGAGGCUAUUUUGGAUGGAUUACUCAAUUGCGGUUUGCAUUUUAUUGCAACAAACUUUCCACACUGUAAUUUUUGAAAUAUUCCGGGGUAGGAAGUCAGUCCAAAAUAGCUAAUAGUGGCCUUAACUAGCAAAUAUCAUAAAAGCACAGCACAUUAUUUUCAUUCAAUAUUUUUGUAUAUAGCAACAAGAAUGGGGUGGUACUACCUGUUUUUUUUUUAACAAUGGUAGACCGUCUGGGGCUGAAGGGGCAGUAGGAGUGUUUGAGAAACCUAUUUGGAAACAAUGAUUAUAUACUGUAUGCCGUUCCUUUGUGUGCCGGUGGUGGUGCAGUUGAUCAAAAUGUUUGUAUUAUAAUUUUCUCAGACUACUUUACUUUAUCUUUUCAUAGGGUGAUGGUGAGACUGUCUAUUCUUGUGCCAACAACAAUGGUAUGGUGAAGUUUACCCGUGCAACACUGAACAACAGCAGACUGACUCAGGAUAAUGCAGCUCUCUGCAGUCUCCAAUCACUUUACUGGUCACAUAUGGGUCAGUGGAUUUAAGCAACCCUAACAGCACAGACACCGCAGUAUUAACAUCCAAUAUAAACACCUCUGCAGCAUCUAAUGCCUCCAGCAUCUAAUACUGGAAAAAUAAAGACACUUUUUGUAAUUAACACAUUGCCUCAUGGUGACAUUGAGGAAUUGGUUGUUCUCUGAUAGUACAAAAAUUCAAAGAUGAACUAAAGAAAAUAAAUCUGUUAUAGUGCCUAUUGUUAGUUGUAUAUGCAGUUAGUGUAUAUGAAUGCCGUUGUACUCGCUCAUAGUACAAAAAUUACUUUAUUCUCUUCUCUAUUUGCAUCAGAAAACGUCCCAAGUGUAGCUCUUAUGCUUUUGGGUAGUGGAUUUAAUUUUUCUCAUUUAUUAAUAAUGUUCAUUAUUCAAUUACAUUAGCAUUUACUGUACCUUACCAUUAUGUGUUUGUGGGUUUUUAUCCUUUCUUGUUGUGUCAUGUAUGCUAGAUAGGCUACUGUCUAAUAUAUAUUGACACUCUAGUUGUUGAAGUAUAUUGUGUAUUACCAAAUUCCUGUGUUUUAUAUUGAAAUUGGUAUGGAA